UUUAACCUCAUUUGUAAUCAAGAAAAUACAUAUUCAAAUAGGAUAUAAUUUUUUACCUAUUACAUUGGAAAAGAUUUAAAAGUUUAAUAAGGUACUGUGUUCAGAGGAUGUGGAAAACCAUCUUUUUUUACACUUAGAUUGGGAGGGUAAAUUGCUAUAACCUCUUUAGAGAGUGACUUAGCUCCUUUUCUAGAAAUUUAUCCUACCAGUAUACUAACAGUUGACUUAAAAACACAGGUAAAGGGAUGUUUAUUAAAGCAUUGUUGAAGCAAAUGACCAUGACGGAUGAAAUGAAUUAAUUGAUACAUCCAUAAAGAUGCAUCCAGACAGUUACUGAUACUGCCACACAUAGGCAGUUACUAAUGAUUUGAAUAGGACUUGUCCCCUAUAAAACUCAUGUUGCAAUUUGAUUCCCAAUGUAAUGAUGUUGAAAAGUCAUGGGACCUUUAUGAAGUGUUUGGGUCAUGAGGGCUUUGCCUUCAUGAAGGGAUUAAUGCUGCUCUCAUGGGACUGGGUUAGUUCUCCAGGGGGUCAGUGAGUUCUUGCUCUAAUGGGACUGAAUUAGUUACCAGGGGGUCAGUGAGUUCUUGCUCUAACGGGACUGAAUUAGUUACCACGAGAGUGGAUUGCUAUAAAGCAAGGCCACCCCUCAUGUUUUGUCUUUUUUGCACACUCUUGCUCUCUCGCCAUGUGAUGCCCUUUGCCAAGUUAUGAUGCACUACAAAGCCCUUACCAGAAGCUGUCAUCAUGCCCUUGGACUUCCCAGUCUCCAGAACUGUGAACCAAAUCAACUUCCUUUAUGAAUUACCCAGUCCCAGGCAUUGUGUUAUAACAACAGAAAACAGGCCAAGACAGCAGUUAAAGAAUGGUAUGGCAUGAGUGUUUAUUGUCUCGGUUUGACCUGAGGUAGAAAUAUAAUUAAUAUGAAAUCUCAAAUCGGUUUAAGAUGGAUCCUAUGUGCCAAUUGACAAAUGAAAUAUCCUUGAGAACUGGUUACAAGCAUCUAGAAGGUUUAAGGAUAUUAACAGUGUCAGAGCAUGGGAAGAGGGAUUAAAAGAUUUCUUUGGAAAAAAUCUGUGCUGUGAACUCCAUCCCUUCUACCCCAAGGGGAUAUAUCCUGUGAUCCCGAAUAUAAUGAGGUAGAUCUUCAGUGAGAGCAUCUGAGAGCUUGGUAAGUGACCAGUUAGGUGGUCUGGGGUGUAACCCUCCCAAAUCUAGAGGGCUAGAGAUGGGCCAACUAGUUGCUUUGCUGGUAGAGCCACAAGAGUGCUAGUUAACAGACUGUACUCCCACAGUUUUUUAUUUGGGAGGAGGUAAGGGUUUGAUGAGGGUUUUCUGUAGACUAGAUGGAUGUGUGGCAGAUGGGAGAAAAAUCUAGGCUGAACUGUAUUAAGUCCAACUCAAGAGGACCACCUGGGAGAUGAGAAAGAAGUCUUCAACUAUGAAAAAUGUGUGGGUGCAUCACCAUGACCCAGGGCCGAGUGGGAUGCAGCUAGGCUAAGGAGCAGAAUAUGUCACCUCUUCAGGAGACUUGAAGCUGGGUCACAGAGCUGGGUCUCCCAGAAGUGCCCAAGAAAGCUCUAGAAGGUAAAAUGCCAGCUUCAGUCAUCUGCUAGUUCCAGAGAAGCCACCAGCUAAGGAAGAACUGUCCUACCUCCUUACUUCUCAAACCCUUGCUUCAACCUUGGUAGCAAGGUCUGAAAUAGCAGCUGUCAAUGGGGGUAAACAGCCUCCCCAGUUGGGUUUGUGAGAUGUUUUAAGGGAUAGGGGCAGUGAUAGUUUUAAGGGGCUAAACUUUCAGAAGCCGAGUGUUUAUUCCUAAAGUUCAUUUGUUUGAGAAAUUUGCCCACAGCUGAGUGCCAAUGCUGGUCCUUCUUUUCUUACCUACCCUUUCGAGCUCAGCUUCCAAUUUACAAAAGAAAGCCAUGUGUUCUGAAUCUCACUAUCAUGCACUGACCCCUGGGCAACAAGCAGGGAUUUUUGAAAAACUGGUGUCAACCUUGAGUAAAUGAAUGACCCCCCAAACCCAGUAACAAUCCUUUUGCAAAUCUCAUGGUUUAAUAAAAUUGAAGGAGGAUCUAUCCUGCCAGAUGAGGCCCUUUAUGGUUGCCACUGGCUUUGCAAGCAUGACUUAAGAAGUAGACUUUAUUGAGUAAAGGAAAACCCCCCAGGUCAAGGGGGGUUUUAAACAAGACAAGGAUCUUCAGUGUUCCUCAUUCUACUCAUCUUUCCAUGUGAGUUGUUUCUAGGGCCAGGGCUUCUGCUGGACACUUUUAUUUAUUUUUUUUUUUCUAGUAAAGUGAGCCAUUCCUAGAAGUGGCCUCCAUGGGAGGAAGUGGCAUCAGGCAGUCUUGAUUUGGAGUGCCAGCUGUUUUCAGAAGUUGCCUAGGAAAGUUAGCUGUCUGACCCCUGGGGGCUUUAGGGACAUCUGGAGCAACAGACUCUCUCUUUGACCUAACACUAAUUGGGCUCUUUUAAGCCCUGAAGACCCAGACCUUGGGCUCCGUCCUUGGCUUGCUUAUUCUGCUUUCAGAAAGAAUCCUGGUGAGUUAGUGUCAUUAGAAUCCCCCACCCUUGGUAUCUGACCACCCUUGAUAUCUGAUGAAAUUCCUCAACCCCUCUCCCUCAGUAUCUUACUAUCCUGGCUGCCUUCAGCUAGAAGCUGAAACAGUUUAGAAUCCAUCUUAUUGCUGAUGUUCCCUUUUAGUAAUUUCCAUCCACUGACCCCACCCUGCACCUUGGCCAUAAUUUCCCACUUGUCUUUGUAUUCAGAAGGGAGCCCAUUAUAAACUGAGGUCUCUCUUUCCCUACUGCAAUAGCUCCUGAAUAAAAUUUAUCUUCACUGCUUUAACUUCUGUCUGGCUCUGGUUUUCUUUGACAGGAGUCUGCAGGAUGUUAAAGGCCCCUCACCUGGGAGGAAACCAUUGGUAUCAUGGGAAGUUGGACUUAAAGGUACUCAUCAUGAUGGGAGAAGGGAGAGCCCCCACGACCCAGCGAGGCUGUAGUUCAGGAAGUGUCAACUGAAGAAAGACAAAGUUCAUAAAUGUGGGAAGGAAAGCUUUGUGUCUCAUAAAGGGUUGCAGCCUGCAGGAUGGCCAUUCUGACAGACUGGGAAGCACAGCCUCCAGUAAGAAGCCAGAAACAGACACUUCAAGGUAAAGAUGGAAUAACAGAAACUGGAUUGAUCCUCCUGCUGAAACAACGAAAAAAUAGACAAAACAUGUGAAACUGUAACUGCUCAAUGGACUCUUCCUGCCCACUGCACAAACAAAAUCAAUUCCUGGAGACCAUGGCAUUGCAGUAAAGAAAGAGUUUAAUUGAUGUAAGGCUGGCCACAUCACACAGGAGACAGAGUUAUUACUCAAGUCAAUCUUGCUGAAGGCUCACAGGUUCAGGGUUUUUCAAAGGUAGUUUGGGGAAAGGAGUAGGAAUGCUCAUUGGUGAUUGGUUGGAGGUGCAAUCAAAAGGGUGUGGGAAAUGAUUCUCCUGAGUGCUGAGUCACUUCUGGGUGGGGUCACAGGAGUGGUUGGUGGGUCCAGGCAGAGCCAUCCAUUAUUGGACAUGCAAAAAAACUGAGAAGAUAUCUCAAAAGGCCAAUCUUAGGUUCUAUAAUAUUAAUGUUAUCUGCAGGAAUAAUUGGGGAAGUUGCAUAUCUUGUGACCUCCAGAAUAAUGGCUGUCAA